rnacentral:rRNA from 1 species
CCAUGCGAGUCGAAUGUAGCAAUACAUGGCGUACUGCUCAGUAACACGUGGACAACCUGCCCUUAGGUCGGGUAUAAACCCGGGAAACUGGGUAUAAUCCCCGAUAGGUCUCGGCUGCUGGAAUGCAUCGAGAUUAAAAGCUCCGGCGCCUAAGGAUGGGUCUGCGGCCUAUCAGGUAGUAGUGGGUGUAGUGUACCUACUAGCCUACGACGGGUACGGGUUGUGAGAGCAAGAGCCCGGAGAUGGAUUCUGAGACACGAAUCCAGGCCCUACGGGGUGCAGCAGGCGCGAAAACUUUACAAUGCUGGCAACAGCGAUAAGGGAACCUCGAGUGCCAGGUUACAAAUCUGGCUGUCGAGAUGCCUAAAAAGCAUUUCAUAGCAAGGGCCGGGCAAGACCGGUGCCAGCCGCCGCGGUAACACCGGCGGCUCGAGUGGUAACCGUUAUUAUUGGGUCUAAAGGGUCUGUAGCCGGCCGGAUAAGUCUCUUGAGAAAUCUGGCAGCUUAACUGUCAGGCUUUCAGGAGAUACUGUCUGGCUCGAGGCCGGGAGAGGUGAGAGGUACUUCAGGGGUAGGGGUGAAAUCUUGUAAUCCUUGAAGGACCACCAGUGGCGAAGGCGUCUCACCAGAACGGACCUGACGGCAAGGGACGAAAGCUAGGGGCACGAACCGGAUUAGAUACCCGGGUAGUCCUAGCCGUAAACGAUACUCGCUAGGUGUCGGCCACGGUGCGACCGUUGUCGGUGCCGUAGGGAAGCCGUGAAGCGAGCCACCUGGGAAGUACGGCCGCAAGGCUGAAACUUAAAGGAAUUGGCGGGGG